rnacentral:tRNA from 1 species
UCCCUGAUAGCUCAGUUGGUAAAGAAUCUGCCUACAAUGCAAGAGACCCAGGUUUGAUUCCUGGCUUGGGAA